rnacentral:rRNA from 1 species
AGUGAACGCUGGCGGUAGGCCUAACACAUGCAAGUCGAACGGCAGCACAGUAAGAGCUUGCUCCUACGGGUGGCGAGUGGCGGACGGGUGAGGAAUACAUCGGAAUCUACUUUUUCGUGGGGGAUAACGUAGGGAAACUUACGCUAAUACCGCAUACGACCUACGGGUGAAAGCAGGGGAUCUUCGGACCUUGCGCGAUUGAAUGAGCCGAUGUCGGAUUAGCUAGUUGGCGGGGUAAAGGCCCACCAAGGCGACGAUCCGUAGCUGGUCUGAGAGGAUGAUCAGCCACACUGGAACUGAGACACGGUCCAGACUCCUACGGGAGGCAGCAGUGGGGAAUAUUGGACAAUGGGCGCAAGCCUGAUCCAGCCAUACCGCGUGGGUGAAGAAGGCCUUCGGGUUGUAAAGCCCUUUUGUUGGGAAAGAAAAGCAGCAGGUUAAUACCCCGCUGCUCUGACGGUACCCAAAGAAUAAGCACCGGCUAACUUCGUG